UACGGAGGGUGCUAGCGUUGUUCGGAAUUACUGGGCGUAAAGGGCGUGUAGGCGGUCUGCCAAGUCAUGUGUGAAAGCCCUCGGCUUAACCGAGGAACUGCGCAUGAAACUGGUAGACUAGAGUACGGAAGAGGGGGGUGGAAUUCCAGGUGUAGCGGUGAAAUGCGUAGAUAUCUGGAGGAACACCGGUGGCGAAGGCGGCCCCCUGGUCCGAUACUGACGCUGAUACGCGAAAGCGUGGGGAGCAAACAGG
rnacentral:rRNA from 1 species